rnacentral:rRNA from 1 species
ACAUACGACCAUAGAUGGUAGAAAACUCGGGAUCCCGUCCGCUCUCCCUUAGAUAAGCUACCAAUCGCCGGAUUAGUACUCAGGUCGGUGACGACUGGGGAAUCCCCGGUGUUGUAUGUU